rnacentral:rRNA from 1 species
CCUACGGGAGGCAGCAGUGAGGAAUAUUGGACAAUGGGCGAGAGCCUGAUCCAGCCAUGCCGCGUGCAGGAUGACUGCCCUAUGGGUUGUAAACUGCUUUUAUACAGGAAGAAACUGCUCUACGUGUAGAGCCCUGACGGUACUGUAAGAAUAAGGAUCGGCUAACUCCGUGCCAGCAGCCGCGGUAAUACGGAGGAUCCAAGCGUUAUCCGGAAUCAUUGGGUUUAAAGGGUCCGUAGGUGGAUAAUUAAGUCAGAGGUGAAAUCCUGCAGCUCAACUGUAGAAUUGCCUUUGAUACUGGUUAUCUUGAGUUACUAUGAAGUAGUUAGAAUAUGUAGUGUAGCGGUGAAAUGCAUAGAUAUUACAUAGAAUACCAAUUGCGAAGGCAGAUUACUAAUAGUAUACUGACACUGAUGGACGAAAGCGUGGGUAGCGAACGGGAUUAGAUACCCCGGUAGUCCACGCCGUAAACGAUGGUCACUAGCUGUUCGGACUUUAUGUCUGAGUGGCUAAGCGAAAGUGAUAAGUGACCCACCUGGGGAGUACGUUCGCAAGAAUGAAACUUAAAGGAAUUGACG